rnacentral:rRNA from 1 species
AGUGAACGCUGGCGGUAGGCCUAACACAUGCAAGUCGAACGGCAGCACAGGAGAGCUUGCUCUCUGGGUGGCGAGUGGCGGACGGGUGAGGAAUACAUCGGAAUCUACUCUGUCGUGGGGGAUAACGUAGGGAAACUUACGCUAAUACCGCAUACGACCUACGGGUGAAAGCAGGGGACCUUCGGGCCUUGCGCGAUUGAAUGAGCCGAUGUCGGAUUAGCUAGUUGGCGGGGUAAAGGCCCACCAAGGCGACGAUCCGUAGCUGGUCUGAGAGGAUGAUCAGCAACACUGGAACUGAGAAACGGUCCAGACUCCGGCGGGAGGCAGCAGUGGGGAAUAUUGGACAAUGGGCGCAAGCCUGAUCCAGCCAUACCGCGUGGGUGAAGAAGGCCUUCGGGUUGUAAAGCCCUUUUGUUGGGAAAGAAAUCCAGCUGGCUAAUACCCGGUUGGGAUGACGGUACCCAAAGAAUAAGCACCGGCUAACUUCGUGCCAGCCGCCGCCGUAA